GGCCUUGACAUACUAAGAACUUUCCAGAGAUGGAUUGGUGCCUUCGGGAACUUAGAUACAGGUGCUGCAUGGCUGUCGUCAGCUCGUGUCGUGAGAUGUUGGGUUAAGUCCCGNAACGAGCGCAACCCUUUUCCUUAUUUGCCAGCGGGUCAUGCCGGGAACUUUAAGGAUACUGCCAGUGACAAACUGGAGGAAGGCGGGGACGACGUCAAGUCAUCAUGGCCCUUACGGCCAGGGCUACACACGUGCUACAAUGGUCGGUACAAAGGGUUGCUACCUCGCGAGAGGAUGCUAAUCUCAAAAAGCCGAUCGUAGUCCGGAUCGCAGUCUGCAACUCGACUGCGUGAAGUCGGAAUCGCUAGUAAUCGCGGAUCAGAAUGCCGCGGUGAAUACGUUCCCGGGCCUUGUACACACCGCCCGUCACACCAUGGGAGUUUGUUGCACCAGAAGUAGGUAGUCUAACCGCAAGGAGGACGCUUACCACGGUGUGGCCGAUGACUGGGGUGAAGUCGUAACAAGGUAGGCGUAGAUGA
rnacentral:rRNA from 1 species